rnacentral:rRNA from 1 species
GAUGAACGCUAGCUACAGGCUUAACACAUGCAAGUCGAGGGGCAGCAUGGUCUUAGCUUGCUAAGACUGAUGGCGACCGGCGCACGGGUGAGUAACACGUAUCCAACCUGCCGUCUACUCUUGGACAGCCUUCUGAAAGGAAGAUUAAUACAAGAUGGCAUCAUGAGUCCGCAUGUUCACAUGAUUAAAGGUAUUCCGGUAGACGAUGGGGAUGCGUUCCAUUAGAUAGUAGGCGGGGUAACGGCCCACCUAGUCUUCGAUGGAUAGGGGUUCUGAGAGGAAGGUCCCCCACAUUGGAACUGAGACACGGUCCAAACUCCUACGGGAGGCAGCAGUGAGGAAUAUUGGUCAACGGGCGAGAGCCUGAACCAGCCAAGUAGCGUGAAGGAUGACUGCCCUAUGGGUUGUAAACUUCUUUUAUAAAGGAAUAAAGUCGGGUAUGGAUACCCGUUUGCAUGUACUUUAUGAAUAAGGAUCGGCUAACUCCGUGCCAGCAGCCGCGGUAAUACGUAGGUGGCAAGCGUUGUCCGGAUUUAUUGGGCGUAAAGCGAGUGCAGGCGGUUCAAUAAGUCUGAUGUGAAAGCCUUCGGCUCAACCGGAGAAUUGCAUCAGAAACUGUUGAACUUGAGUGCAGAAGAGGAGAGUGGAACUCCAUGUGUAGCGGUGGAAUGCGUAGAUAUAUGGAAGAACACCAGUGGCGAAGGCGGCUCUCUGGUCUGCAACUGACGCUGAGGCUCGAAAGCAUGGGUAGCAAACAGG